GCUGGGCACGGUGGCGCGUGCCUGUAAUCCCAGCUACUCAGGAGGCUGAGGUGGGAGAAUUGCUUGAACCCAGGAGGCGGAGGUUGCAGUGAGCCGAGAUCGCGCCAUUGCACUCCAGCCUGGGUAACAAGAGCGAAACUCCAUCUCAA
rnacentral:sRNA from 1 species